ensembl:lncRNA
AUGACAAGGAUGGGACCAAGUGGCCUGUGCGGGGAGUCCUGCGGAGCCUGCUCCGAGUUCCCAGGCACUCCUGCGCCCCCGCCCCAGUCUCAGGACAGUCACAUCAGGACGGGAUGGGCCCCCCAGGCACUCGGCUCAGGGCUGCUCUGGACCGAGGGGCCUUGUUGUGGGGGGCAGGGGGGCACCCGGGCACCUGGGAGGGUCCUCCUUGGGUUUGACCGGCCUUCCGCUUCCUGCUCCAUCGGGACCUGGCCACCUCCCCUCUCGGUCCUCCAGGAGGAUCCGGAGCCCCCCCACCCAACUCUAGCCCCAGAGUCCACCGGGCUCGCCCACCCUGCUGAGGGACCCCGCCUCGGAGCGGCUCGCCCACCUCCCCGCGGCUCUCGACGCCUCUCCCUCCUCAGAUCUCGGGGAAGCCCCCCCUUCCCAAGACCCUGCUGCCCUCGUGGCUCCUGGACCCCCUCUGGGGCUGAAGGCGGUUCCUGCGCAAGAGCCAGCACGCAUGUGAGCUCUAACAGGGGUACACGCUGUGGCCACUCGGCCACCACGCAGCUGGCAGCUGGGGGGUGGGAGGGCCCGGGGGCAGGAGCCUCAUGCCGCUACCCCCUGCCUCCCCCGUCACCAGCUUCCGACCCCCCGGCCCACCCGCCCCCACAGGUGCUGAGUCACAGGGGCUCCCCCUCGGGCUGCGAGGGUGUCGGAACAGAGGGUGAGUCACAGAGGCAGCCGGGCGCGUGGCGGGAGGACAGCCGGAGUCCUGGGUGCACAGGGAUGCACGCACACACAGCAGCCCUGCUGGGUCACAGCGCAUGCACACCAGCACCCAGACACACACAGGCCACACAGAUUUACACACCCACUGACACCCCCAGGCACACACAGCCUGUCUGUGCCCAGGGGGUCCCCCGGGAGCUUCCUGGAGGGGAAACUGAGGGGGCUGCUGGCCGACUUGCACAGGGACCCCACAGCAGCCUCUUCCCUGCUCCAGGGCAGCCCGGGGUCCGGGGCGCCUCCUCUGGUCCUUGGCGAGGGGGCGCCUGCUGGGAAAGGUGCUGGGCCGGCCUUGGCCGGGGAGUCUCAGCAGCCAACACGCCUGGGGUUUGCGGGCCAGCGUCCUGA